UGGAGCCUGCGGUUUAAUGGACUCAACGCCGGGAAACUCACCAGAUAAGACAGCUGAAUGAUAGUCGGGCUGAAGACUCUACUUGACUAGCUGAGAGGAGGUGCAUGGCCGUCGUCAGUUCGUACUGUGAAGCAUCCUGUUAAGUCAGGCAACGAGCGAGACCCACGCCAACAGUUGCCAGCUCGUCCUCCGGGAUGGUGGGGACACUGUUGGGACCGCCUCUGCUAAAGAGGAGGAAGGAAUGGGCAACGGUAGGUCAGCAUGCCCCGAAUUAUCUGGGCUACACGCGGGCUACAAUGGGUGGGACAAUGGGUAUCGACACCGAAAGGUGAAGGCAAUCUCCUAAACCCAUCCGUAGUUCGGAUUGUGGGCUGCAACUCGCCCACAUGAAGCUGGAAUCUGUAGUAAUCGUGUCUCAAAAUGGCACGGUGAAUAUGUCCCUGCUCCUU
rnacentral:rRNA from 1 species